GUCUAUGACCAUGCCACCCUGAACAAGUCUGAUGUCUGAUCUCAGAAGCUAAGCAGGGUUGGGCCGGUUAGCACUUGGAUGGGUAGACUACCUAGGAAGACCAGGUGCUGUAGGCA
rnacentral:rRNA from 1 species